rnacentral:rRNA from 1 species
ACUUAAAUUGAAGAGUUUGAUCAUGGCUCAGAUUGAACGCUGGCGGCAGGCCUAACACAUGCAAGUCGAGCGGUAGCACAGAGAGCUUGCUCUCGGGUGACGAGCGGCGGACGGGUGAGUAAUGUCUGGGAAACUGCCUGAUGGAGGGGGAUAACUACUGGAAACGGUAGCUAAUACCGCAUAACGUCGCAAGACCAAAGUGGGGGACCUUCGGGCCUCAUGCCAUCAGAUGUGCCCAGAUGGGAUUAGCUAGUAGGUGGGGUAACGGCUCACCUAGGCGACGAUCCCUAGCUGGUCUGAGAGGAUGACCAGCCACACUGGAACUGAGACACGGUCCAGACUCCUACGGGAGGCAGCAGUGGGGAAUAUUGCACAAUGGGCGCAAGCCUGAUGCAGCCAUGCCGCGUGUGUGAAGAAGG